CCCAAGGCCACACAGCUGAGAAGAGGAAAAGCUGUGGGUGGUAGAGCUGGGAUUCGUGGACUGUCUGACCUCAAAGCUUGUGUGGGUUCUGCAGCCCCGUCCUGCAUCGUGCCAUGGGGUCCAUGCACAGUGUGCACAGCAUGUCAGUCGCAGAAACAGGAGUAGGUCCCAGGUCUCUGCAUACCUGCUGCUCCCUGACGAUAUCAUCUAGCGUUCUGUUUGCUCAGGGCCUGGAUUUGGCUUCUGUCCUGCCCUCCCAAAUUCCCACUGGAGACUACUGCUGGGGAAGUUAUGGUGCACAGGAAAGAGGAUGAGAAAGUGGGGAAGACCAGGCUUUCGACUAGCUGAGAGGUAGGGCUGGGGAGCACGCACCUAGGAAGGCUGGCUUCUGUAAAGUAAUUGGGAGGUGGGGGUUUGUGUUUCUCCCAGAUCCAGCUGUCUGAGAAGUUCAGGAAAGUGUGGCUGUCCCCUCCGC
rnacentral:lncRNA from 1 species